rnacentral:tRNA from 1 species
ACCCUUGUAGCUUAAUGGUAGAGUACUGGUGCUUAAAACCAGGGGCCCGGGUUCGAUUCCCGGCAAAGGAG